rnacentral:lncRNA from 1 species
AUUUAUUAUAUGUAACCAAUUCGUGUUAUUUGCGUCAAUUUUCUAUUUUCAUUUAAUCCAACGCUUCUGCACUAAAGAUCAAGCCCAACAAAUCGUGGCCCAAAAACCUGGAGCUCAAAAAUCAAAACCAAAUUACUGAAAUUAUGGAAAAAAAAAAUAAAAUGAAAAAUCCCAAAACUGAAAAUUUCGGGGAAGAAAAAUGAUGAACCCUAAAUCUGAUAAUACAGUAUAAAAAAUUCUCACGAAUUCGCAGGGAAAUAGGUCUACUUUUUCUUGAUUCCCACGUCAAAAUUUCUCACAGCAAAAACAUUUCAAUUCUAGUAUACGCGAAUAUAUUCGAUGCUAUUCCGAAGGCUAUGCGUCACUUUAUCGAAAUCUUGCGACUACCCUUUUUUUCUUUCCCCAAAAUUGAUAAACCCUUUGGCUAGUUUAAACUCAAACCCAGAAUUUAUAUCGAAUUGUGAAUCCGUGAAACUAAGUUUUCGGAGGCGGUUGUCAGUGAAUUCACACAAUUUGGAGUCCAAAAACGCUGCUAGUCCCACUAUGGAUGAUCCUAGGAGGCCCCCAGUCGUUCCCAUUCCACCCCCGGAAACUGCCGAACCGGCCGAGGUAUUCAGGGCCCUGGAGGCCUCUUUGGGCUCGCAAUUUAGCUCUCAGCCCAUAGUCCCGAACCCUGGACCUUUGAUUAUUGUGAUAAGUGGACCCAGUGGUGUUGGCAAAGAUGCUGUGAUCAAAAGAUUGAGAGAAGUUAGAGAAAAUUUGCAUUUUGUGGUUACAGCAACUAGCCGGGCUAAAAGGCCUGGAGAAGUUGACGGAAAAGACUACUUUUUUGUGAGUAAAGAGAAAUUUUUGUCCAUGAUCCAGAAAAACGAGCUCUUGGAGUAUGCAUUGGUGUAUGGUGAUUAUAAGGGGAUACCAAAGCAGCAGAUUAGGCAGUACGUGGAGAAAGGGUGUGACAUUGUGUUGAGAGUGGAUAUACAGGGUGCCAUAACGUUGAGAAGGAUCUUGAGAAAGAGUGCGAUUUUUGUGUUUUUAGUGGCAGAGAGUGAGGAGGCAUUGGUAAAGAGAUUGAUUGAUAGGAAGACAGAAACGAAGGAGACUCUGCUCAUGAGGGUGGCAACAGCUAGGGAAGAGGUGAGGCAUUUGAAAGAGUUCGAUUAUGUGGUUGUAAACAAGGAAGGUGAGUUGGAGAGCUCAGUAAAGCUGGUGGAGUCUAUUAUUGAUGCUGAGAAGGCUAAAGUGCAGCAAACUAGAGUGGUCAUUUAGAUAAGAUCCCCUUUAAAAAAUUUGGGUUAGUAAAGUGCAUGUUGAAACUUAAUGGAGUACCUGUGAAACUCACUUUGUUAUGGCAUAUUGUCAUCGGUUAUGUUCUUAAAUCUUAGCAAUGUUUGACCGUUUUUCCAAUGAUUGAUUCCUCUGUGCGUCAAUGAGUCUAUUCGUGAGGCCACUGCGUCAAUGUUUCUUGGAUCUUUGAAUUUGGGUGAGUAUGUCUGUAUCUUACAAUUGCUGAAUUUUUAAAUUAAAAGAGCACUAUUUUGCUAUAACUUCCUAGCAAAGCACAAUCUUUUGCAUUCAAAAUUGAUGAUUGUGUUUGCAUACCUAUCUUGUUAUGUAACUCGAGAGUUGUUCUUUCUACCUUCUUUCUUGUUGGCACUAUAGGCAUUUUUUUCUAUUCCAAUUUUACUAUUGCUUUUAUGAUAUAGGAAUUUUAUAUUUUUUUAUCUUUUGUGGGUAACUCUCAAUGAGAGGAGGCUCCUGAAUGUAGUAAAAAUGCACGUCACAAUGGACAAGCAAAUGUCCAUGCAAUCUAACAAUUGUUAACAC